rnacentral:rRNA from 1 species
UACAGAGGUCUCAAGCGUUGUUCGGAUUCAUUGGGCGUAAAGGGUGCGUAGGCGGCGCGGUAAGUCGGGUGUGAAAUCUUGGAGCUUAACUCCGAAACUGCAUUCGAUACUGCCGUGCUUGAGGACUGGAGAGGAGACUGGAAUUUACGGUGUAGCGGUGAAAUGCGUAGAUAUCGUAAGGAAGACCAGUGGCGAAGGCGGGUCUCUGGACAGUUCCUGACGCUGAGGCGCGAAGGUCAGGGGAGCAAACGGG